AGGGUCUAUAGUUUAAAUAGAACGGGGGUUUUGUAAACUCUAGGUGUUGGAAAAGCUGGGCUCUA
rnacentral:tRNA from 1 species